rnacentral:rRNA from 1 species
UGGGGAAUAUUGCACAAUGGACGGAAGUCUGAUGCAGCAACGCCGCGUGCGGGAUGACGGCCUUCGGGUUGUAAACCGCUUUUUCUCAUGACGAAGUUUUUUGACGGUAGUGGGGGAAGAAGCACCGGCUAACUACGUGCCAGCAGCCGCGGUGAUACGUAGGGUGCGAGCGUUGUCCGGAAUUAUUGGGCGUAAAGAGCUUGUAGGCGGUUUGUCGCGUCGAUAGUGCAAACUCAGUGCUUAACGCUGAGCCUGCUGUUGAUACGGGCAGACUAGAGGAAGGUAGGGGAGAAUGGAAUUCCCGGUGGAGCGGUGGAAUGCGCAGAUAUCGGGAGGAACACCGGUGGCGAAGGCGGUUCUCUGGGCCUUUCCUGACGCUGAGAAGCGAAAGCGUGAGGAGCGAACAGG